rnacentral:rRNA from 1 species
GAUGAACGCUGGCGGCGUGCCUAAUACAUGCAAGUCGAGCGAAUGGAUUAAGAGCUUGCUCUUAUGAAGUUAGCGGCGGACGGGUGAGUAACACGUGGGUAACCUGCCCAUAAGACUGGGAUAACUCCGGGAAACCGGGGCUAAUACCGGAUAACAUUUUGAACCGCAUGGUUCGAAAUUGAAAGGCGGCUUCGGCUGUCACUUAUGGAUGGACCCGCGUCGCAUAGCUAGUUGGUGAGGUAACGGCUCACCAAGGCAACGAUGCGUAGCCGACCUGAGAGGUGGAUCGGCCCCACUGGUACUGAUACACUGCCCAGAAUACUACGGGAGGUAGCAGUAGGGAAUCUUCCGCAAUGGACGAAAGUCUGACGGAGCAACGCUGCGUGAGUGAUGAAGGCUUUCGGGUCGUAAAACUCUGUUGUUAGGGAAGAACAAGUGCUAGUUGAAUAAGCUGGCAACUUGACGGUACCUAACCAGAAAGCCACGGCUAACUACGUGCCAGCAGCCGCAGUAA